GUGAAAACCCAAAAAAAAAAAAAAAAAAAAAAAAAAGAUAAAAAAAAAAAAAAAAAAGUGAAGUGUCCGGACACUCAAACAAGUGUCCGGACACCUCGAGCAGUUUUUGAGCAGAUAUGCAAUCUGUCUCAUUUUCUUCACAAAGUGUCCGGACACUUUAUGAGCCGUCCGGACACUCGACGAUAAAUUUCAGUUUAAAACACAUUGGGACAGUUUUAGUUUUAAUUCUUUCACUGGUUUUGACAGAGAACGCCGAGAGAGAGAGAGAACUAGAGAGAAGAAGGAUUUUGGUGUGAAUCAAGGAGAAAGAAGCUUGACUUGAAGAUUUUGGACUUUCUAAAGCUUGGUUUUCAAGAUUUCUUCAAGAUUGAGAUUUGAGCUUGGAUUGAAGUGUGGAGAUAGGAGGAGAGGUGGUUGUCCUAAGGUUUGAAGAUUUGGGCAAGGUUAUUGAACUUGGAAGAUUGGUGACUAGAGUUGUGGUGAGGUUUUACUCAAACGAGGUAGGGAUUUUCUUAACCCUUAAUCUCAAACACUAUUGGCUACCCGAAUUAUGUAUUAAAUUCGUUAGUUUCCGCCUUUUUGGUCAAGGGGAAACAAGCCUUGGAUUGGGUGCGAUUGUGAACUCAAAUCUAUAUGUUGUGUGUUUAAUAUUGAAUGCAUUACCCGUGGACACUCGGUCAUCUAUCGAGUAGUCAAUAUUCUUAAUUACAUGGUUGAAUGACAUUGCGCGCAAUGAAUUUAGUUGCAUGACAUUCAUGUGUGAUGCUGCAUUUGUGCAUGGUGAAAGUGGUGGGUUGGAUUUUGGUAUGUACGUCAACGUGCACUAGUGGUUCCGGUAAUUGGCUCUAGUGGCAUGAUAUGGAAUAUUUGUGCGAGCAUGUGCUAGUGGUUCCGGUUAAUUGGCUCUAGCAACAUGGCUCGGUUGGAUGUACGGAAUUGCAUUUGUUUGACAACAUGGCAUAUUGUUGCAUUGCGUUAUUUCCUUAUAAUAUUCCGGACCGUUUUUUUUAUUUAUACUCCUAUUCGGUAUCCCUACUGAGCCUCCUGCUCACCGUUUCAUUUUUU